UGGGGAAUUUUGCGCAAUGGGGGAAACCCUGACGCAGCGACGCCGCGUGCGGGAUGAAGGCCUUCGGGUUGUAAACCGCUUUUGAUUGGGAGCAAGCCUUUUGGGUGAGUGUACCUUUCGAAUAAGCGCCGGCUAACUACGUGCCAGCAGCCGCGGUAAUACGUAGGGCGCAAGCGUUAUCCGGAAUUAUUGGGCGUAAAGCGCGCGCAGGUGGUUUAGAAAGUCUGAUGUGAAAGCCCACGGCUCAACCGUGGAGGGUCAUUGGAAACUAAUAAACUUGAGUGCAGGAGAGAAAAGUGGAAUUCCUAGUGUAGCGGUGAAAUGCGUAGAGAUUAGGAGGAACACCGGUGGCGAAAGCGGCUUUUUGGCCUGCAACUGACACUGAGGCGCGAAAGCGUGGGGAGCAAACAGG
rnacentral:rRNA from 1 species